AUUGAACGCUGGCGGCAGGCCUAACACAUGCAAGUCGAGCGAGCGGAGGACGGGUGAGUAAUGUCUGGGAAACUGACUGAUGGCGAGGGAUAACUACUGGAAACGGUGGAUAAUCCCGAAUACCAUCAGAUGUGCCCAGAGGGGAUUAGAUAUUAGGUGGGGUAAUGGCUCACAUAGGGGACGAUCCCUGUCUGGUCUGAGAGGAUGACCAGACACACUGGAACGGGUACACGGUCCAGACUCCUACGGGAGUCAGCAGUGGGGAAUAGUGCACAAUGGGCGAAAGCCUGAUGCAGCCAUGCCGCGUGUGUGAAGAAGGUCUUCGGGUUGUAAAGCACUUUCAGCGGGGAGGCGUUACCCACAGAAGAAGCACCGUCUAACUCCGUGCCAGCAGCCGCGAUAAUAC
rnacentral:rRNA from 1 species